UACGGAGGAUGCAAGCGUUAUCCGGAUUUAUUGGGUUUAAAGGGUGCGCAGGUUGCUUGAUAAGUCAGUGGUGAAAGUCUGUCGCUUAACGGUAGGAUUGCCAUUGAUACUGUUAGACUUGAAUAUGGAUGAGGUAGGCGGAAUGUGUAGUGUAGCGGUGAAAUGCAUAGAUAUUACACAGAACACCGAUUGCGAAGGCAGCUUACUAAUCCAUCAUUGACGCUGAGGCACGAAAGCGUGGGGAUCAAACA
rnacentral:rRNA from 1 species